rnacentral:lncRNA from 1 species
UAUUGUUAGCACUUUGUGCUGAACGCUAUCCUAUACUCCUAACAAAAAGGGGGUUUUUGAAAAAAAAAAAAAAAAAAAAAAAAAAGCGGAUUAACUUUUAGCAAUUGGCGCUGAACAGAUUUCCAAUUCCCUCUCUUCUUUCACACACGACCUUCAUCUGUAUCAACCCACAUCUCACCUUCUUCUCUCAUCUCAAUACCAUCGAAUUGCAUAACCACCACCUCAAUUGAAUCCCAUAACUGACACCAACAUCAAACCCCACUUCUAACCCCAUCUCUCUCAUACCCAGACCCCCAUCUAAUUAAACUCCACUUCUCACAACCCAUUGAACCCAUCUCUCAUCUCAUUACAAGCAUGCACCCACACAG